CCGAACCCCAAAUCCCACCCCCAAAAAACCCAAAUUUCACCAAUUCCCCCAAACCCAAAACCUCCCAAUUCUACCCCCAAAAUCCCAACUCCCCUCUAAUGAGAAAACGUUGGAUUUUGGGGCCAAAAAACCCCCAAAAAGGGGCACAGAACGUCGUGCCAAAAACCACCACUUUCCUACAACGCCGCAGAACCCAAAAGCAGCAGAAAUGAACCCAAAAGGGGACGGUGCUAUUUACAGUUUAUUACAAGUUUGAAAAAGCCAAAAUUCGGUUCAAGCUUUGCCAAAAAAAAAAAGAAAAACCAACCAAAAAAACGCCAAUUUUGGUUUUUUUUUUGUAUGUGUGUAAAAAUGGGGAUUUUUUACAAAAAAGCGCAACUUCUGUACAGGCGGAGGGGACGAGUGCACCCAAAAGUGCUGGUUUUUGGCCCAAUUUCACCUUUUUUAACACUUUUUUGUGUGUGGGGGGGGGGUUGGAGCUGGAGGGGAGCUGGCAAUUUGUCUCAAAUUGCCCAAAAUUGGCAGAAUUUCACCCAAUUUUUUUGGGGGGGUGGGAGAGCGAAACUCAAUUCUUUGCAGCAAUGGAGAUUUUGGGGCAUUUUGGGGCAUUUUGGGGAUUGGGAUUUCCCAAAAAAUCCCAUUGGAAGCUUCAGGAAAACAAACAAAAAAAAAACCCAAAAAUGCCCCAAAUGAGCCCAAAUCCACCACGACAAAACAUUUUCACAGAGAUUUGGGGUGUUUUGGGGUUUUUGAGGUAUUUGGGGAUAAUUUGUGGCUUUUUUUUCCCCCAGUUUUGCACAUUCUGGGUUAUUAUCACCAUAUUUUGCCCAUUUUUUCCCAAAUCUUCCACGUUUCGGCUUCAUUUUUUUCACAUUUUGGGUCAUUUUCACCACAUCCUGCCCAUUUUUUCCCCCACUUUUAACACAUUUCCCAUUAUUUUCCCCCAAAUUUCCCACAUUUCACCUCAUUUUUUCCUCAUUCCACCCAUUUUUUCCCCACUUCCUGCAUUUUUCUCAUCACAUUUCCCCAAAUCUUGCCCAUCUCACCUCAUUUUCUCCCACAUUUUGGGUUAUUCCCCCCACAUUUUGGGUUAUUUCCCCCACAAUCCCCACAACAUCACUCCCAAACUCCACACCUCUCACCAUUUCCCCCCAAACCCCACAAAACUCCGCUUCCUUUCCCCCAAAACACCGCACCCUGCACUCACACCCCCCAACCUCACAACCCCACACCUUCCUUUGCCCCAAAUUCUGCCCUUUUUCCCCCACUUUCAGCCACUCCUCCCACACCAUUCACACCAAACCUCCCCAACAGCCAACGAAGCCCAACAGCCCCCAUCACAGCCCAACAGCCCCAUCACAGCUUAACAGCAAACCCCAUUACAUCCCAACAACCCCAUCACAGCCCAACAGCCCCCACUCCAGCCCAACAGCCCCCAUUAGGGCCCAACAACCCUCAUUACAGCCCAACAACCCUCCUAACAACCCAACAAUCCCCAUUAAGGCCCAACAACCCCCAUUAUAGCCCAACAAUCCCCACUCCAGCCCAACAGCCCUCAUUACAGCCCAACAGCCCUCAUUACAGCCCAACAACCCUCCUAACAACCCAACCCCCAUUAGGGCCCAACAGCCCUCAUUACAGCCCAACAGCUGCCAUUACAGCCCAACAACCCCCAUUAGGGCCCAACAACCCCCAUUACAGCCCAACAGCUGCCAUUACAGCCCAACAACCGCCAUUAGAACCCAACAAUUCCCACUCCAGCCCAACAACCCCAUCACAGCCCAACAGCCCCCAUUAGGGCCCAACAACCCUCAUUACAACCCAACAGCCCCUACUCCAGCCCAACAGCCACCAUUACAGCCCAACAGCCGCCAUUAGGGCCCAACAACCCCCAUUAGGGCCCAACAACCCCCAUUAGGGCCCAACAGCUGCCAUUAGGGCUCAACAAACACCAUCACAGCCCAACAGCCGCCAUUAGAGCCCAACAAACCCCAUCACAGCCCAACAACCCCCAUUAGGGCCCAACAACCCUCAUUACAGCCCAACAGCCGCCAUUACAGCCCAACAACCCUCAUUAGGGCCCAACAGCUGCCAUUACAACCCAACAACCCCCAUUAGAGCCCAACAAUCCCCACUCCAGCCCAACAACCCCCAUUACAGCCCAACAGCCCCCAUUACGGCUCAACAACCCUCAUUACAACCCAACAGCUGCCAUUACAGCCCAACAAUCCCCACUCCAGCCCAACAGCCCUCAUUACAGCCCAACAACCCCCAUUACAACCCAACAACCGCCAUUACAACCCAACAACCCCCAUUAGGGCCCAACAACCCUCAUUAGGGCCCAACAGCCGCCAUUACAGCCCAACAACCCCCAUUAGGGCCCAACAACCCACAUUACAGCCCA
ensembl:lncRNA